CCUACGGGAGGCAGCAGUGGGGAAUAUUGCACAAUGGGGGAAACCCUGAUGCAGCAACGCCGCGUGAGUGAAGAAGUAUUUCGGUACGUAAAGCUCUAUCAGCAGGGAAGAAGAUGACGGUACCUGAUUAAGAAGCCCCGGCUAACUACGUGCCAGCGGCCGCGGUAAUACGUAGGGGGCAAGCGUUAUCCGGAUUUACUGGGUGUAAAGGGAGCGUAGACGGUAAUGCAAGUCUGGAGUGAAAGGCGGGGGCCCAACCCCCGGACUGCUCUGGAAACUGGGUAACUGGCGUGCAGGAGAGGCAG
rnacentral:rRNA from 1 species